AUUGAACGCUGGCGGCAGGCCUAACACAUGCAAGUCGAGCGGAUGAAGGGAGCUUGCUCCUGGAUUCAGCGGCGGACGGGUGAGUAAUUCCUAGGAAUCUGCCUGGUAGUUGGGGAUAACGUCCGGAAACGGGCGCUAAUACCGCAUACGUCCUUAGGGAGAAAGUGGGGGAUCUUCGGACCUCACGCUAUCAGAUGAGCCUAGGUCGGAUUAGCUAGUUGGUGGGGUAAAGGCCUACCAAGGCGACGAUCCGUAACUGGUCUGAGAGGAUGAUCAGUCACACUGGAACUGAGACACGGUCCAGACUCCUACGGGAGGCAGCAGUGGGGAAUAUUGGACAAUGGGCGAAAGCCUGAUCCAGCCAUGCCGCGUGUGUGAAGAAGGUCUUCGGAUUGUAAAGCACUUUAAGUUGGGAGGAAGGGCAGUAAGUUAAUACCUUGCUGUUUUGACGUUACCAACAGAAUAAGCACCGGCUAACUUCGUG
rnacentral:rRNA from 1 species